GAUGAACGCUGGCGGCGUGCCUAAUACAUGCAAGUAGAACGCUGAAGGAGGAGCUUGCUCUUCUGGAUGAGUUGCGAACGGGUGAGUAACGCGUAGGUAACCUGCCUGGUAGCGGGGGAUAACUAUUGGAAACGAUAGCUGAUACCGCAUGACAACAGUUAUUGCAUGAUAACUGUUUAAAAGGGGCAACUGCUCCACUACCAGAUGGACCUGCGUUGUAUUAGCUAGUUGGUGAGGUAACGGCUCACCAAGGCGACGAUACAUAGCCGACCUGAGAGGGUGAUCGGCCACACUGGGACUGAGACACGGCCCAGACUCCUACGGGAGGCAGCAGUAGGGAAUCUUCGGCAAUGGACGGAAGUCUGACCGAGCAACGCCGCGUGAGUGAAGAAGGUUUUCGGAUCGUAAAGCUCUGUUGUAAGAGAAGAACGAGUGUGAGAGUGGAAAGUUCACACUGUGACGGUAUCUUACCAGAAAGGGACGGCUAACUACGUG
rnacentral:rRNA from 1 species